rnacentral:rRNA from 1 species
GAUGAACGCUAGCUACAGGCUUAACACAUGCAAGUCGAGGGGUAACGAGAGGAAAGCUUGCUUUCCUUGUCGACGACCGGCGCACGGAUGAGUAACGCGUAUCCAACCUGCCCCCAACUAGGGAAUAACCUUGCGAAAGUAAGACUAAUACCCUAUAAUUUCCUCAGAUGUCAUCUGACGAGGAAUAAAGAUUUAUCGGUUGUGGAUGGGGAUGCGUCUGAUUAGCUUGUUGGCGGAGUAACGGCCCACCAAGGCAACGAUCAGUAGGGGUUCUGAGAGGAAGGUCCCCCACAUUGGAACUGUGACACGGUCCAAACUCCUACGGGAGGCAGCAGUGAGGAAUAUUGGUCAAUGGGCGGAAGCCUGAACCAGCCAAGUAGCGUGCAGGAUGACGGCCCUAUGGGUUGUAAACUGCUUUUAUACAGGAAUAAAGUUAGCCACGUGUGGUUAUUUGUAGGUACUGUAUGAAUAAGGACCGGCUAAUUCCGUGCCAGCAGCCGCCGUAA